UGGGGAAUAUUGCACAAUGGGCGCAAGCCUGAUGCAGCCAUGCCGCGUGUGUGAAGAAGGCCUUCGGGUUGUAAAGCACUUUCAGCGAGGAGGAAGGUGGUGAGCUUAAUACGCUCAUCAAUUGACGUUACUCGCAGAAGAAGCACCGGCUAACUCCGUGCCAGCAGCCGCGGUAAUACGGAGGGUGCAAGCGUUAAUCGGAAUUACUGGGCGUAAAGCGCACGCAGGCGGUUUGUUAAGUCAGAUGUGAAAUCCCCGGGCUCAACCUGGGAACUGCAUUUGAAACUGGCAAGCUAGAGUCUCGUAGAGGGGGGUAGAAUUCCAGGUGUAGCGGUGAAAUGCGUAGAGAUCUGGAGGAAUACCGGUGGCGAAGGCGGCCCCCUGGACGAAGACUGACGCUCAGGUGCGAAAAGCGUGGGGGCAGCAAACAGGAUUAGAUACCCUGGUAGUCCACGCUGUAAAACGAUGUCGAUUUUGGAGGUUGUGCCCUUGAGGCGUGGCUUCCGGAGCUAACGCGUUAAAUCGACCG
rnacentral:rRNA from 1 species